GUUUUGAAGUUAAUAUAUUUCAGUCUUUACAUUUAAGUUGAAGAAAUUGGGUUUCGUCCGCCCUCAAAUAGGAUAUUUUGGGUCUAUCCGCCCUCAAAUAGGAUGUUGAAUCUAUUUGACCCGAGUGGUCCGGCUUGUAUGAACAUUGCCAAAAUAUAUGUUUCAUAAAUCAUUGUCAAUGACAUUUUAUUUUCAAAGUUGUUGUUGAGGUCAGGAGCCCGCCUGAAGAAAGGAAAGGCGUUUUAUUUUUAAAAGUUGUUGAAAUCUCGCCAGCCUAAAGAAAGGAAUGACAUUUUAUUUUCAAAGUUGUUGUUGAAGUCAGGAGCCCGCCUGAAGAAAGGAAAGGUGUUUUAUUUUUAAAAGAUGUUGAAAUCUCGCCAGCCUAAAGAAAGGAAUGACAUUUUAUUUUCGAAGUUGCUGUUGAAGUCAGGAGCCCGCCUGAAGAGAGGAAAGGCGUUUUAUUUUUAAAAGUUGUUGAAAUCUCGCCAGCCUAAAGAAAGGAAUGGCAUUUUAUUUUCAAAGUUGUUGUUGA
rnacentral:lncRNA from 1 species